rnacentral:rRNA from 1 species
UACGUAGGGCGCAAGCGUUAUCCGGAAUUAUUGGGCGUAAAGAGCUCGUAGGCGGUUUGUCGCGUCUGCCGUGAAAGUCCGGGGCUCAACUCCGGAUCUGCGGUGGGUACGGGCAGACUAGAGGUAGGUAGGGGAGAAUGGAAUUCCCGGUGUAGCGGUGAAAUGCGCAGAUAUCUGGAGGAACACCGGUGGCGAAGGCGGCAUCCUGGACCGGCAUUGACGCUGAGGCGCGAAAGCCAGGGGAGCAAACGGG